rnacentral:rRNA from 1 species
UGGUGGAGUGAUUUGUCUGGUUAAUUCCGAUAACGAACGAGACUCUGUCCUGCUAACUGGUUCUGCGUAAUAUUUUGUUACGUUUUGGACUUCUUAGAGGGACUUUUGGCGAUUAGCCAAAGGAAGUUGGGGGCGAAUAACA